AGUGCAUCUGGGCUUGCUGAGCAUCACAGAGGAUGGGCCAAGCUUACCAGGGACAGCUGCUCUGCUGCCCAGGUUCGGCUGAGCUGUGCAGCUGGUCCCUGGCUCCGACCUCCACCCCCAGAUCCUGCAAAGCCUCACUGGAGGAUGCUUGCCUUUGAAGAGCCACAUGGAACUGAUUUCCUGAUAAUUGCAGGGCCCAGUGCAAAGUGAAAAUGCAGGGCUUGUGUUAACAACCUAUAAAAAAUUCCCAGAUGGAAAAAGAAGGCAUUAAACCAAGUGUGGAAUUCAACUGACUGCAUGGGACACAUGCUCU
ensembl:lncRNA